rnacentral:tRNA from 1 species
GCUCCGGUAGUAUAGUCCGGUCAAACUUCAGUGAAGGAUCACGUAUAGCGGCCUCUCGAGCCGCGGACCCGGGUCCAAAUCCCGGCCGGAGCACCA